GACGAACCGUGCGAACGUUGUUCGGAAUCACUGGGCUUAAAGGGCGCGUAGGCGGGCUGCCGCGUCCGGGGUGAAAUCCUCCCGCUCAACGGGAGAACGGCCUCGGAUACGGGCGGCCUGGAGGGGGGUAGGGGCAGGCGGAACGCUGGGUGGAGCGGUGAAAUGCGUUGAUAUCGGAAGGAACGCCGGUGGCGAAAGCGCACUGCUGGACCUUUUCUGACGCUGAGGCGCGAAAGCCAGGGGAGCAAACGGG
rnacentral:rRNA from 1 species